rnacentral:rRNA from 1 species
GAUGAACGCUGGCGGCGUGCCUAAUACAUGCAAGUCGAGCGAACAGACGAGGAGCUUGCUCCUCUGACGUUAGCGGCGGACGGGUGAGUAACACGUGGAUAACCUACCUAUAAGACUGGGAUAACUUCGGGAAACCGGAGCUAAUACCGGAUAAUAUAUUGAACCGCAUGGUUCAAUAGUGAAAGACGGUUUUGCUGUCACUUAUAGAUGGAUCCGCGCCGCAUUAGCUAGUUGGUAAGGUAACGGCUUACCAAGGCAAAGAUGCGUAGCCCACCUGAUAGGCUGAUCGCCCACACUGGAACUUAAACACCCUCCAGACUCCUACGGGAGGCAGCAGUAGCGAAUCUUCCGCAAUGGGCGAAAGCCUGACGGAGCAACGCCGCGUGAGUGAUGAAGGUCUUCGGAUCGUAAAACUCUGUUAUUAGGGAAGAACAAAUGUGUAAGUAACUAUGCACGUCUUGACGGUACCUAAUCAGAAGGCCACGGCUAACUACGUG